UUUUCUUUUCCACGAAUUUUCUCUUCCGAUUCUCAAGGCCAAUCAGCUACUUGCCCCCCUGGUCCCCCUCCCACGGUUCGCCAGGCGACUCAGUACCGUGGCGAACACACAAGGGGAAGGUCACGUCGUGUACGCUUCGCGAUCGUGCGUUUUUCGACUCCGCAAGAGUCGUCUUUUUAGUGCCGCGAAAUGAGAUCUCGUCGCGUUCCUCGCGUCCUCGUCGAGAGCGAAUUUCCCCGCGGAAGAUAUCGCCCGGGAUGCCGGUGUCCGGCGCAGGUAACGAAAAGUGUCGCGUUAAUUGUUUCGUCUUUUUAGUGCCGCGAGGUAAGAUCUCGUCGCGUUUCUCGCCGUCCUCUCGUCGGUCGAGAGUGAGUUUCCCCGCAGAAGGCAUCGCCGGGAAUGUCGAGCCGAGUGGUCGCGUCCCGUCUGUGGGAAAUUAGCGCGAAAAUCGUGUCGAAAUUUUCGUCGCGUCGCGUCGUGUACAAGGUGACGGCCAUGUUGUGACGUAAUUAAUGCACAACGGUCGUACUUUAGGCUUGGUAGUUGACCGUCGCCCGCGUUCGCGUCGUGUCUCGUCUCCGUUCGACACACAGUUGUCCCUUCGGUAUCACGCGUUCCUUGGCGAUAUGCGAGUUUGCAAUCAUCGUGGAUCACUCGCAAACGCCGUCGGGAAACAUAAGUGUCGUCGCGAGACGACCAGUGUCGUGUCCCCGUCAUUAAUUAUAUCUCGUCUUUUUUGUUCCGCGAGGCGAGAUCUCGUCGCGUUCCUCGCCGUCCUCUCGUCGGUCGAGAGCGAGUUUCCCCGCGGAAGGCAUCGCCGGGGAUGCCGAACCGAAUCGGCGGGCAAAGUGAUCGCGUCCCUCGUGCCCCUCGCCCCUCUCGUCCGUGAGAAAUUGACGCGAAAAUCGCUUGAGUUUUUCGUCGCGUCGCGCGUCGUGUGCACAGUGACUAUCAUGUGUGACGCAGUUCGUGUACAACCGUCGCCCGCGGUCGCGUCGUGUCGCGGUCCCCGUCUCCAUUCGAUCUCGUCGCGUCCCCGCGUCUUCUCGUCGGUCGAGUGACUCGAGUGUGAGUUUCCCCGCGGAAGGGGAUUCCAUCGCCGAGCAUGCCGAACCAGCUGACGCCGUUAAUCGUGUCAAGGGCGUGUGGGCGAGUGUGUGAAUGCAACGAGGAAAACAUCAUCGGUUCAUCGGCUUGAAACGCUGGAAUGAUGGUGAAAUUUAAUCAAGGACGAUAAUGUAGAAUCAUUAGUGCACAGCUUUAACAAAAUUUCCAAUAUCGAGGAUUUAUCACCUUCAUCGACAAAUCGUGAAAUGGCAUGACAAACAAUUUCAAGUUUAGGACAUAUGAGACUCAUGUACGAAAGGUGAUGCUGCUACCGCUUUUAAGAUACUUCUUGGUAAGUGAUUUGCUUUCCUAAUGCACAAUUUGUCUUAUAAAUAACUCGCUCUCGUUCAUAGAGUUCCAUGCUCAAAAUAAGCUCAUUUUGCAACAGGCUGAGUGCUAUCGGACUCUAUGAAUUCGAAGAUAUAAUUAGUCCGAAUAAAUGAUAUAACUAUUGUUAUUAUUUACUCGAAACAAUUUUUGUACAUUACACGACUUAACUAAUUGUUGUUACAGUUAUCGCUAUUAGCUAUAAUAUUUCCAUUGUGGAAGUAUUUAUAUUAUUUUUAUAUUAUUUAUCAAAUUUACUAUUACGUAAACCAAUUGCUCUCCAUCAGCUUUUCUGUAAUAAAAAGCACAUAUUUUGAAAGUGUUAAAAAUUUGUCUGGGAAAAUUAUGCGCGUCCAAGUUUUAAAUAUUUUAAUUAUUUAUUUCCUUUACCGUGCUUUUCCCAAUGGCACGACCACUUAUUGAGCGGCUUUUAUAAUAUUUAUUAUGUCUAAUUAACGUAUUCUCGUAUAUCUCGUAUAUGUUGCAACAGAAAUGUCCGCGGUUUUUGAUCUGUAAGUUCUAGUUAAAAAAUUUUUAAUAUUGCGCAACCCUAAUCACAUAUCUCAGCAGACUCACGUAUUAAUUUCUACCAUUAUCUGUGUGAUAAUAUAUCACGGCUCAGAUACGCUCUGAGUACCACGUGUUAAGUGGUUGUAUUUUUAUUUUAAUAUCUUUUUCACAGCGUCCUCUCGCCCUACCAUUCGUUGGGUUCCCAACGAACUCAAUGCGAAUUCGCGAACAAUAGUUUUCAGAUAAAAAAACAAAAAUUUAGAAUAUUUUUUAAUAGCUUAAUACUUUUUUUAUAAUUAUAUUUAGCGGAGAAAGCAGCUUUGUAAUUGUUGUAAAAUUUUUUAAUACGAUUGGUAUUUGCCCUCAUUGUUAAUUUCUAUCAGAUUUAUAUGUAUAAACGUAUAAAAGAAUUAUAUAACAGUUGCAGAGCUAUUUUUUCUGUUGAAUACAAUCUCUAUCUCCAUAAGAACUAGCAAUGCGAUCAUUAUUUAAUAUCGAGUCAAUAAAGAUAGCGUUCGCUGUGAACUUGAAUUCAUUCUUGUUUAUCAAACUUUAAACGCUAGCGACACGAACACCGCAUGGCAUAUUUUACUAAUAUGAAUAAAGAUAUUUUUAGAAGAAAAAUAUUCUUAUUUCCUUUUAUAAAUUAUUAAUAACUUUUCCGAUUCCGUGGAAUUAUUAUCGGAUAAUACUUUUGAAAUUUUUAUUUUAUUGAAAUGAGAUUACAUACCGUUAAAUGUACAUGAUUUGCUUACUUAAAGAAUUUUGCAGUUUCAUAAAAAAAAUACAUUCCUCUAAAUUAAGAAGAAAAAUAUUGAAUAAAAAAUAAUAAUUAAUUUAACACCAUUAUUAUUAAACAAUUAUGUUGUACUCUUUGAAAAUAAAUUUUAAUAAACCUACACAUGAAAUUUUUUUCUUCUGAAUUCACUUUAAUACACUUUGUUAAAAUACAGCAGAUGCUUCUCUUUUUUCUUGACA